CAGUAGCCGCGGUAAUACGUAUGUCACAAGCGUUAUCCGGAUUUAUUGGGCGUAAAGCGCGUCUAGGUGGUUAUAUAAGUCUGAUGUGAAAAUGCAGGGCUCAACUCUGUAUUGCGUUGGAAACUGUGUAACUAGAGUACUGGAGAGGUAAGCGGAACUACAAGUGUAGAGGUGAAAUUCGUAGAUAUUUGUAGGAAUGCCGAUGGGGAAGCCAGCUUACUGGACAGAUACUGACGCUGAAGCGCGAAAGCGUGGGUAGCAAACAGGAUUAGAUACCCCAGUAGUCCCUGUCUCUUAUACA
rnacentral:rRNA from 1 species